rnacentral:rRNA from 1 species
AUUGAACGCUGGCGGCAUGCUUUACACAUGCAAGUCGAACGGUAACAGGUUAAGCUGACGAGUGGCGAACGGGUGAGUAAUGCAUCGGAACGUGCCCGAUCGUGGGGGAUAACGCAGCGAAAGCUGCGCUAAUACCGCAUACGAUCUUAGGAUGAAAGCGGGGGACCGUAAGGCCUCGCGCGAUCGGAGCGGCCGAUGUCAGAUUAGGUAGUUGGGGGGGUAAAGGCUCACCAAGCCAACGAUCUGUAGCUGGUCUGAGAGGACGACCAGCCACACUGGGACUGAGAAACGGCCCAGACUCCUACGGGAGGCAGCAGUGGGGAAUUUUGGACAAUGGGCGAAAGCCUGAUCCAGCAAUGCCGCGUGCAGGAAGAAGGCCUUCGGGUUGUAAACUGCUUUUGUACGGAGCGAAAAGGCCCUCUCUAAUACAGGGGGCUCAUGACGGUACCGUAAGAAUAAGCACCGGCUAACUACGUGCCAGCCGCCGCGGUAAUAC